rnacentral:piRNA from 1 species
UNCAUUCCCUAGUCAGACAUUGGCCUUUAC